rnacentral:rRNA from 1 species
GACGAACGCUGGCGGCGUGCUUAACACAUGCAAGUCGAGCGGUAAGGCCCUUUCGGGGGUACGACGAGCGGCGAACGGGUGAGUAACACGUGGGUGACCUGCCCUCAGCUCUGGGAUAAGCCUGGGAAACCGGGUCUAAUACCGGAUAUGACUCCAUGACGCAUGUUGUGGGGUGGAAAGCCUUGUGCGGCUGAGGAUGGGCCCGCGGCCUAUCAGCUUGUUGGUGGGGUGANGGCCUACCAAGGCGACGACGGGUAGCCGGCCUGAGAGGGCGACCGGCCACACUGGGACUGAGACACGGCCCAGACUCCUACGGGAGGCAGCAGUGGGGAAGUCUUGCGCAAUGGGCGAAAGUCUGACGCAGCGACGCCGCGUGAGGGAUGACGGCC